CGGGGCGUGGCGCAGCUUGGUAGCGCACCUGCUUUGGGAGCAGGGGGUCGCAGGUUCAAAUCCUGUCGCCCCGACCA
rnacentral:tRNA from 11 species